rfam:Gymnopus luxurians FD-317 M1 unplaced genomic scaffold GYMLTscaffold_83, whole genome shotgun sequence.
UCCAAUGUGGUGUAGUGGCUAACAUUGCUGUCUUUCAUUCAGGAGCCUGUGAACCGUCUAGAUAUUGCACAGCAGCCCGGGGUUCGAUUCCCCGCAUUGGAA